rnacentral:misc_RNA from 1 species
AUAUCGUGCAAUAAUAUAAUAUAAAAUUAUGCUUCAUGAAAUACACAAGAAAAUUUAUCAAUUGUAACAGAAGAUUCACACCUUAACAUUGUUGUUCCCUAUAGCCUUCUAGAGCAAUGGACAACUAAUACUAUUCUAUUGACUGAAUUUUUCACUAACCACCAAGGUUACCUAAAUCCACUAAGGAAUUCUAUCAAAAUGUAAUUAGUCAUGUCAGA